CUUAUAGAAUGCAGAAAUUAUUGCCUUGGAAGUCUGCUUCCCUCAAUAGGUGAAAUUUGCGCUUAUUCAUGGAGUUGUACUGUUUCAGUUGAAUUUGCGAAGAUUAAAACAUCGCUUAGAUAAUCGGCUAGGGUUUGCAUAUAUGUACCGAUUUAGGUUCUAAUUGCGUGGAGAUGAUAUGUCAACAAGGGUCUUUUGGGAAUCCCUUGACAGAGUUGGAGUCAAUUGAUCUGAAGAUCUGAAGGAGAAGUUGAAGAAUACAAACAGGACUUAGAGGGGGUGAGCUGGAGUAUCAUAUCGACCAGAGCAUAGAUCGAGUCCUCCGAUAAACGCUAUUAUUUUUCUCCAAUUGAAACCCACACCUGCAUCUGCAUCCACAAUCACAGUCUUUUGAUGAUGUGUGUAGAUAGUUUCAGCUUCCUACAAUAAAAAAUGAGAUCUUGGACAAAGCAAUACAUGUACAGAAGAAUGUUUGAAAAAUCGCCGAGUCACUUCAUCGUUGGUUUUCAUUAUCCCUUCCUAUCAAAAUGCACAUAAAUUAGACCUAGUUCAAAUUUAAUAUAAAUAAAACUAACUUCAUUGUAUCAUUCAAUUUAUUAUGGAAAAUAUCUUAUAUUUCUUAUGCCUAGUUCAAAUUUACUAAAAAUAAAACUAAAUUCAUUUCAACGUUCACAUUAUUAUGGGAAAUAUCCUAUAUUUCUUUCAACUUUGUUCAAAUAACCUACACGAGAAAUAAACAUUUUUACCGUCUU